AAAGAACCAUACAUAUGGGUGCAGGUCUAGGGCUCAACAUUAUCUAUCAUCUCUCUGCUCCAAUCAUUACUGCAAACCACAAAAUAAAUUCAAACAUUCUUAGCAAAUUAAGAUCUUAUACUAAUUUUUUGGUAAGAAGAUCUUAUACUAAUUAAAAGAUGUCUACAUAAAAUUCUAACUCAAAAAAACAAAAAAAAUAUUAUCAAAUUGUAAACCAUAUAUACUUUUUACUGGAAAAACUGUUUUUUUUUUUUUCAGAACAAAAAAAAAAUCACAUUUUUUUAUACAAUAUUUAGCUUCCAGUUUUCACUAAUUUGAAAACAUUUCUUCAUAGGUAAAAACUAAAAUCUUGUAAUGUAUAUGAAAUUGUGUGGACUUAGCUUUUCACACAUAUGAAUAUGAUGGUUGAUAACUGCAGGUGCAAAUAUGAAACAACAGAAAAUAUUCUUACGUACUGCUUCAAAACGCUCUGCUCCAGCUCCAACUCCAACACCAAAUUCUUCAACUAGCUCGAAACGCCUCGCUUCGAGACAGCGGUUUCUCGCUCUUCGGAUCGGUGGUUGAACUUGACUGGAGCAAUGAUGGAGAUUGAAGACAGUACUGUCUUCAAAGACCCAGUUUGAAAUAAGUAUGUUCUUUUCUAGGAUCAAUGGAUUUUAUGCUUUGGUAAUUGUUUUUGUUUGUGAAAGUGUAAAAGUGUCUUUGGAAGGUCAUUUAACCAUAUCAGAUGAUUUUUCUUUUUUUUAGUGUGGUUAGAAUUUUACUUUGAAAGUGAAUAAAUAAAGUGUUUGGAGUUCGAAUUCCGACCCUUGUAUAUAUAUAAUAUGAUGUUUUUACCAACUGAGCAAAACUUACGGGACAUAUCAGAUGGGAACUUAGAUUAUGUUGCAUGGGUACUCCAUUUUGGACAGAGUACCGGUACCGGGUACGUAUCGGAUAUCGGUACGCGUAUGGUACUCCCCCGGUACGCACCGAAGCCGUACCUAGUUUUUUUUUUUUUGUUUUAUGCAAUGGGUACGCUGUGGUACACAUGUGGUACGUGCGUGGUACACCAAUCCAAAAAAAACACAAUUUUUUUUCUUCUCCUUUUUUUCUUUUAUUAGUAUUUUUUAUAGGAAGAUUUAAGUUUUUUAUUUGUUUAUAAUAUAAAAGUAGUAACUACUACUAAAAAACAAUAACAAAGUAUCAACUAUCUAGUUUUUAUUCAUGGUAAUCUUCGUCUUCUCUCGAGAAAGAGAAAUAGUAAUACUUAUAAUGAAAGUGCAACAAAAAUGUGGGAUAUUCGUAGAGAUGAAUGAAAUUUAUUUAAUAUAUAGUUGAUAUUCUUGAAAUUGCUAGUCUUUCUCGCGGUGAACCUAACUUCAGUCGCUCUUUUUAGUGAUGAUGAAGACGGAAAUCAUUAACUCUUUUUGAGCUAAUUGCUUUUUAAUUUCAUAUUUUGAUGUUUCGAACAAUUUAAAUUACUUUUAAAGUGUGAUGUGAUAUUUUUAUGUUUAAUUAUUUGUUUUAACGAUAUAAUUCUAUUAUUUAAUAUAUAUAAUUAUAUUUUAAAAAAAUUAUAAGGACGUACCCGUACCUUAGUUUUUAAAAAAAUGAUGUACCUCGUACCGGUACCGUACCCGCACCCGGGCAACAUAAAUCUCAUAUUCAUGUUGUCACUGUGUCGGUAAUCAUUGAAUCAAGAACGAAAAACAAUGUGGUAUUUUUACUUUAAAACAAAAAACCAACCUUAAAAUUUGCACCAUCGAUGUUGAUCCAAUCCAACAAUCACCAAUGAUGUGACUGCGUGUGACUGCAGAUUUUGAUGACUACACAGAAUCCGAAUUACUCAAUAAUGUCUAUCAUAAUGUCAUAUUAUGUUAGUAUGUGGCUAUGAAGCUCGGACUCGGACACAUACACGACAUGGGCACGAGAAAACCACUAAUGUAAAAAACAUAGGACACAAGCAUGGCUAUAUAUAUUAAUAAAAUAAUGCAAUUUAUAGAGUUAAAUUAGAAGCAAAAUUUAUGUUUAUUUAAACUUGGUACUUUCAAUCAACAAAAAAAAAGACAUAAAUCCACCAAAACAAACUAAAUACUUGCAAUUAAGGAAAAUUAUCUAAAACAAAAUUAUACAAAUCAUAUCCCACAAAGAGCAGCAGCGUGUGGCGAAGAUGAAAACAAACUGAGAAGAUGGAAAAACAAAGAAUACUACUCCUGUUGUUUUUAUAGCGGGUAAGUGGAAUAUGAAAGGUAAAAACCUUGUCGUAUCUGUGUCCAGUGUGUUUCAAUUUUUUUCGUUGGACACGUGUCAUACGUGCAUCCAUGUUGGACACGUGUUUGGUGUGCGACACGCCCUCUGAUAGCCGUGUCAGAGCUUCAUAGGUAUGUGGCUUUUAUUUUGUAAGUUAAAGUAUUUUUUUUCCUGAUAUGGGCCUUCCUAUGUUGGUUGGGUUAAUAUCCCGAUUCCUGGUUAGGCGAAGCUAUGUUGGGUGGGGUUAAUAUUCCCGAUUCCUGGUUAGGUGAAGCUGCGACUGCUCUGUGUUGUAAAGUGGGAAAAGUUGCGCCUUCCUAUUAGGGGUGAUCCGAGGCGUCUGAGUUUUUGGGAACCGAUGCUGGCUCGUUUGAAGAAUAGAUUGUCUGGGUGGAAGAGUCGCUUCCUAUCUUUUGGUGGUCGUCUAGUUCUGCUAUAGUCCGUUAUGAGCUCUCUGUCUGUCUAUGCUUUUUCCUUCUUCAAAGCUCCAUCAGGUAUUAUCUCUUCUAUUAAAUCACUUUUAAUUGAUUUUUUGUUUUUUAUUUUUAUGGGGNNNNNNNNNNNNNNNNNNNNNNNNAUAACCUCUUAGAUUAGCUGGAAAACUAUAUGUUUACGUAAGGAGUAUAGAGGGCUGGGGGUUAGGCAGUUGAGAGAGUUUGGUAAAUGGUGUUGGAGGAUGCUAAUGGACAGAGAGGGGUUGUGGUUUAGAGUGUGGGCAGCUCGAUACGGGGUGGAGGGAGGUAGACUGAGAGUGGAGGACGAAGAGGGUCAUCCUGGUGGAGGGAGAUAGCGCGUAUUAGGGAUGGUGGUAGUGGGCUAUGGGGCAGGUGGUUUGGGGAGCAUGUUUCGAAGAACGUGGGAGACAGGUCAGAUACUUUUUUCUGAACCGAUCCCUGGGUGGAUGAGACUCCUUUGUGUGAGCGGUUUGGGCUCUUGUUUGAUUUGGCGGAGACCAAAUCGUGUUCGGUGGUUGUGAUGUAUUCGUUAGGGUGGGGGCCUGAUGGGGAGGCGUGGGCGUGACAGAGGCAGUUGAGGGUAUGUGAGGAGGAGAUGUUGGCGGAGUGUCAGAUUUUACUUUCUAAUAUCUCCUUGUAGGCUUAGUCUUCAGAUAUGUGGCAAUGGCAGUCUGACCCUGCUAAAGGCUACACUGUCCAAGGAGCAUAUCAUCUCUUGACUUCUCAGGUUUCGGCUACUAUGGACCAGGUGGAAAUCUUAUUUGGCACACUCAGAUUCCCUUGAAGGGUUCCAUCUUCGUGUGGCGACUAUUACGUGACAGGCUACCCACAAAAGCAAACCUGGUUACUCGAGACAUCUUAUCACUUGAAGCCCACUUUUGCCUAUCUUGAUGCAGAGCGGUCGAAUCGACUCAACACUUAUUCAUCUCUUGCAGCACUUUUUGUUUUAUUUGGGCAUUGGUUCGUUCGUGGAUUGGCUUUUCAUCGACGGAUUCCACUUCUCUACGUGAUCACUUUGUUCAGUUUACAUAUUCAGCAGGUGGUCUUCGAGCGCGUCGUUCUUUUAUGCAACUCAUUUGGCUUACCUGCGUUUGAGUUGUGUGGAAUGAAAGAAACCACAGAUUGUUUAGAGUCUCAACAAACACACUACACCACAUGUUGGAUAAGAUCAAGCUUUUUUCCUAUAGAUGGUUGAAGACGACGAGUGUUACUUUAGCUUCAAACUACCAUAGCCGGUGGUCUAGUCUUUUGCUUUGUUUGGGUCUUUAUAAUUUGUUUUAUGGUUUUCUUCCUUUGACUCAUAUGUAAUCAUUCUUAGUCUACCUCGCUACAUCUUGUGCUGAGGAGACCACUAGAUUUUGUUUAUAUUAAUAUAUUUCAUUUUGUCUUGUUAAAAAAAAAAAUUAAAGUACUUUUGUACGUAAAUGUAGCGACGUAUUUGAAAUUAUUCGAUAUCUUUUGUCAUAUUAUUUUAAUAUCUAUCAACUAUAAUGAAACCUAUGACCAAAUGACAGCUUUUAAUACACAUAUAAGUAUCUAGUAUUAUAUUGUUGGUAACAGUUUUUUCUUUAGAAGAAAUUUGGGACUUAAAAGAUUUUUUUCAAAGUGAAGCAAAUCAUAAAUAGAGAUUUUCUUUCUCGCGCCCUAUCCUUCUCGCUAUUUAUGUAGUGAACUCAGGGGCGCACAAUAUGAGAAAACAGUUUGCAUCCUAGAAUGCGAAGAACCUUAUAAAAUAAGAGGGUGAAGGAGAGGGAGAAAUACAAAAAUAUUAAAUUUUAUAAAGUUCGUAUUCUAAAAUGCAAACUGUUUUUUCUCCAGUUUUUACUAUUUACAUACUCGUAUCUUACGUUGCGAGGGAGGUAGAUUAGAAAGCUGGAGGACGUGUGUGAAACUCAGCAGGAAAUCUCAUAAAUAUCAUGAAUACUAGCCCAUGCCCAUAAAGCCCAAAAAAUGACAGUUGGCCAUGUUUGCUUUCAUUCCACAGUCUAUGCCAAACUGACCUGCACUGUGCAACUUUUCAUCUCAACGUAGUCAACUGAAAGGUUAGAGUUCUCACUUAUAAAUCAAGUCAUUGAUGCUCCAACUACGUAUGUGCACAUUUCAAAAGGCCAUGAUGGCUGUAUGCUACAACUGCCAUGACAAGUAUGACUUAGUGGGUAGGGUCGGAGAAGUUAAGAAGUGAAAUGAUAAGGAGAUUAACGAUUUGAUUCUUUUUUCUUUUUGGUUUGUACUAUUAGUAUUCGGUACAAUGAACUGCUUAAUUUGGUUCGGAAGUCAGUUCUGCCAUUAGGGCUGGUUCCGACUAUUUGGAGGCCCGGAACUAAAGUUAUGCAAAAAAAAAAAUUGCAAUGUUGGGACUUGAUCCGAGGACCUUGCACACACAAACAUCACAAUCUACCACUAAUUUAUUGAUGCACAUCCGAUAUUUAAUAAAAAAUGACAAUAUAUAACUACUAAUGUAGGAGGACCUCAAAAUUUAGAGGCCUUAAAAUUUCCCAAAAUUUGGAGGUCUGAUGCUGUCGCACAUGCCAGUCUGCCAUCAAGUUGUUUCAGUCCCUCCCGAUCGCAUUUGCGAGAGAUCAAACUUAACGAUCUGAUUCUCACUCUCAACUUAAAUAAAAUUGUCUCGUGGUUUAACAGGGACAAAAAUUUCAAUUUUUGUUCAAUCUUUUGGCCCACAGUUUGUCCAGUUUCAAACAUAAUUUUAAAAUCAAUCACAAAAUAAUUGAAAUUAUUAUGUCCAAUCCCUUAUUAAUCUAAUAGGAAACCUAAAUAUAUACAUGAGAAAGAGUUAUUUUACUUGUGGAUCAUAAAAUUUGUUGCCUACUUGCCUUAGUUCUAAAUAUAAAUGUGAUAAAGAAAUAUUGCCUUUUGGAUUUUGGUCAAAAUCCUUUAAGUUGAUAUUAAGGGUGUACAUGGCCGGAUUGGGUUGGGUUUAGCCAAAACCAAGACCCGAACCAUAUAGGACACACCGGAUUGGGUCAACUAAAAUAACCACUCACUUUAGUAAUGGGCUGGGUUGGGUAAACCCUCUCAUUUUCGGGUUGUGAGUUACCCAUAUUUUUUAUUUAUUUUUAAUAUUGAAUAACUAAAUGAUGAAUCACCGUAUUUUUUUUAUAAAAAUAUCAAUUUUUUUAUUUUCUUAAAAAAUAGUGUAACAUAUUUUCACUACUUUUUUAGCUCAUAAAAUGAUAAUAUCACCACCAUAUUUUUUUCAUAAAAAUAAUCUAUUUUUACUAUUUUCAAAUAAUGACAUUUUUUAAAUGACAAAAAGAAGUCGAAGAGUGGAGACUCGAAGGAGAUGAUGAGACAAUGCGUUAAAACUGUGAUGUACGGGAAAGUAAUACGUUUGUCAUUUGAAAUAAACAUGCAUACAACUUAUUUUGAAAAUUGGAGUAUUGAACUUGUUGCUUUUCUUUUUUAAUGAAGAAAAAUCUUUGAUAUUUAUAUGACAAAUAUUUUAAAAAAUCGUAACACUACUGAUUCAGUGGGUCAGUGGAAUUUUUGGGUCUGGGUUGGGUUUUGCCCAAAAUCCAAUUUUUUUUAUGAAUUUUUCAUUUUAAAAUCCACAUCACCCAAUGACCCGGCACCAACCUACUUUUUUGGGUUGGAUUUGACCGAGUUGAUUGGGUUUACCCAAUCCAUGUACACCCCUAUUGACGGUGUCCUUGAAGUGGUACCCACCAACAUAAGUUAAGCUGGCAGAAGGCUUGUGUCUUGCACACUACUCAUAAGAUUCGGAGGUGUGUUAUAUAAACACAAAAAAGUUGGACAAAAAUACAACACAUAUUUUCUCCAACCACAGCACAGAUAUCGAGGCGUGCAACAAAUAUUAAAAAAAGCAAAAAGUGUAAUUUUGUUGUAUUUUUGUUAAAAAAUUGUGUUUAAAUAACAUUUUUGUAAGAUUCGUCUCCAAGAGCUUAAAAUAGUGAGAGAUUAAAAAAGAUGACAAGUACCUUUUGUUUUUUUGGUAAUAUAGAAGACACGUACACUAACUUCAAAAAAGACAAAAUCAAAUUGACAAGAUUCCACAAAAGAAAUACAAUUCUAUAUAUCUUUUUCAAAAUAAGCUUAAUUAGUCUUUUGGUCCCUUGAAGAUAUUUUAAGUUUCACAAUGGUCCCUUAAAGAAAAAAAGGUCCGUAUUGGUCCCUUAAAGACACAUUCGUUUCUCAAUUGGUCCUUUCCGUCCAUUUUUUUUACAAAAAACGUUAGUUUUAGUUGACUGAAUUGUGGAUGUCAUUAAGUGUAAGUGGUCCACCAAAAACCUUAUUAAUUUUUAAAAUUUUAACCAUUGGAAUUUUUUGUUAUAUUUGGAGUUAAAAUUUAACGGAAAUGACCAAUAUGACAAACAUAUAUGUCUUUAAGGGACUAAUCUGGGUCUUUUUUUCUUUAAGUGGCCAAUCUGGAUCUUUUUUUCUUUAAGGGACCAUUGUGAAACCUAAAAUGUCUUUAAGGGACCAAUAGACUAAUUAAGCCUUCAAAAUAUGCUUAGAUAUAGGAACCGGUGAUUGGAUUUAGGAUCUGUUUGGUUCUGCGUUGGACAUAAUUGAUUUUAAUAUAAUUGAAUUUGACAAAAUGGAUUUUUAAUAGAAUUGAGUUUGACAUAAUUGAUUUAUGUUUGAAUAUAUUCAUACAAAAGUGAGUUGAACAAAUAAUUUGAGUGUAAAAAUCAAUUAUAGAAUCAGAAGCUACGAUUUCUAGCUUCAAGUAGAAUCAAUUCUGGAGGCAGAAUUGAUUCUAUUUUUGAGAAACAAAACAAAUCAGAAUCAAUUCUACACGUCUAGAAUAAAUGCUUGCUACUCCAGAAUUGAAACCAAACAUACAUAUUACUAAACUUUUUUUUUUUUUUUAUAAUGCCGCAUUACUAAACUUUGCUUAAAGCUAAAUUAGUUGGAAGAAUUUAAUAAUCCAUUUGGUCGGAAGGAAAGUGUGAAGAAAAUAAAACACAGAAACGGAAAUAAUGAACUUAAACUAAUUUUUAUUCUAAGUUCAUUAUUCAUUUUUCGCAUUUUUUUUUCUUCCAACCAAACAGACCCUAAAUUUAUAAAUUAUUUUUCAUCCGUAUUUAUCAUUUGAAUAUAUGCAUCUCACCAAAGAAAGUUCGUUUUUUAUAUUUAUUAUAGAAUUAAUGUAUUUAAACUAGAGAUACUCAUAGCAGAUACUUAUUUAUUGUAUGAUACUUAUUUAUUUGAAUAAUUUUUAUUUGUUCAAUAUUAUAAACGUCGGAAUAUCUUAUACUAUUGUGUUCUAUAAUGCCUAUUAUAUUACGUCGGUACUUAUUGUAAAUUAAACAGAGUCAAAAUGUAUCAAAAUAUCUUCCAACAAGCAUAAAGCAAACUGCUGUCAGAAAGAAAAAGAAAAAAAAAAAAGCACAAAGCUAUACACGUCCCCAAUCUUAGAUAUUUUUUAGAAAAAUUUCUAGUGACCACCACCACAAGCCAUAACAAAACAAAACUAUAAAAGUAUUAAUGAAUAAUUAAGUUAGCUUACAAAAAAAAAAUGAAUAAUUAAGUUAGUGUGGAUGGAUGUUUCAGUGUUUUAGUGGAUGUUCAUUUUUUAUUUUUCAUUUUUUUUAUAAUUUUUGUGUCAUAUAAAUAGAACUCUUGUUUUAGCUUAAAUGUGUAAGCUCUCAUCUUCUCUAGUUCUAUAAGUUUAUUUCCAAUACGUUAUCAGCACGAAGCUCUAACAACAUAACUUGAGGUAUGAAAUGUUCAUAUCAAGUGACAUCGCAAUUAUUCUAGUACAUAACAUAUUAUAUGUGGAUUCAUAUCAAAUUGUUUUAGUUUAUUGAUGCACAAAACCUCAUUUACAAAUAUUUAUUUCAGAAACUCUUCCGAAGUUCUGAUCAAAUUUAUAUUAUCAUCAUAAAAAUCAAUUAAAACAAAUUCAUUUUAAAAAAUGACAAACAUUGUUACUAUAAUAAUAACAAAAUAAAUCAGACAGCCACGUGUUUUUUCGUUGAAAAAAAAAAUGAAAGCAAUAAUGGAAGGAGAAGAAAAUACCAACCUACAUAUAGAAACCCUAAUUUGAGUCUAAUUGCAAUUUUGAGAUGUCCGUUGAAUGAUUUCAUCAAAGAAUCCAAAGCGAAGGAUCCCAAAACAGAAACAGAAUAAGGACUUUCAAUUUUUCAAAAUAAAUAUUAGUGAAAAAAAAAAAUCACUAUCUCUCUCUCUGGUUUUGGAUCAAACACUUUGAACACUGUUAAUUGCUCCUUGGAUUUGCUAAGUACGAGAUCAUCCAUCAACUGCAAGAAGAAGAAGAACAAGGUUGUUUUUGUUUUUGUUUUUGUUUGUGUUGUUUUGUGGUAGGAAAAUGGGACAGACAGC
rnacentral:lncRNA from 1 species